rnacentral:rRNA from 1 species
GACGAACGCUGGCGGCGUGCUUAACACAUGCAAGUCGAACGGAAAGGCCCUGCUUUUGUGGGGUGCUCGAGUGGCGAACGGGUGAGUAACACGUGAGUAACCUGCCCUUGACUUUGGGAUAACUUCAGGAAACUGGGGCUAAUACCGGAUAGGAGCUCCUGCUGCAUGGUGGGGGUUGGAAAGUUUCGGCGGGUGGGGAUGGACUCGCGGCUUAUCAGCUUGUUGGUGGGGUAGUGGCUUACCAAGGCUUUGACGGGUAGCCGGCCCGAGAGGGUGACCGGCCACAUUGGGACUGAGAUACGGCCCAGACUCCUACGGGAGGCAGCAGUGGGGAAUAUUGCACAAUGGGCGGAAGCCUGAUGCAGCAACGCCGCGUGCGGGAUGACGGCCUUCGGGUUGUAAACCGCUUUCGCCUGUGACGAAGCGUGAGUGACGGUAAUGGGUAAAGAAGCACCGGCUAACUACGUG